rnacentral:siRNA from 1 species
CGGAACUAUCCUCUUUCUCUCU